rnacentral:lncRNA from 1 species
GAAGUUGUUCAGAAUGUUGAGGAUGAUUCUGGACAUCAGGAAUGUGUCAUGGAAGAAGCUGCUGCUCAGAUAGUUGUUUUUGAGAUUCAACAAGUUGAAGCUUCUGUUCCUUAACAAUUUGCUGGAACUUCAUUCGGAGAUAUUCCUGAUGAGCUUCGGAAGACCAUUGAGGAAAUCCAAGCUGAUAAUACAUUGGUCAAAGAGCGUAUGGAC